rnacentral:rRNA from 1 species
CAAUAAGCGGAGGAAAAGAAACCAACAGGGAUUGCCUCAGUAACGGCGAGUGAAGCGGCAACAGCUCAAAUUUGAAAUCUGGCCCUUGGGCCCGAGUUGUAAUUUGUAGAGGGAGUUUCGGGCGCGGCGCCGGCCUAAGUUCCUUGGAACAGGGCGUCAUAGAGGGUGAGAAUCCCGUACGUGGCCGGCGAUCAAGCCCAUGUGAAGCCCCUUCGACGAGUCGAGUUGUUUGGGAAUGCAGCUCAAAACGGGUGGUAAAUUCCAUCUAAAGCUAAAUACCGGCCAGAGACCGAUAGCGCACAAGUAGAGUGAUCGAAAGAUGAAAAGCACUUUGGAAAGAGAGUUAAACAGUACGUGAAAUUGUUGAAAGGGAAGCGCUUGCGGCCAGACUUGCCCGGGGGCGAUCAGCCUCCCUUCGGGGUGGUGCACUCGCCCACGGUCAGGCCAGCAUCGGUUUCGGCGGCCGGACAAAGGCUUCGGGAACGUGGCUCCCUCCGGGGAGUGUUACAGCCCGGGGUGCAAUGCGGCCAGCCGGGACCGAGGACCGCGCUUCGGCUAGGAUGCUGGCGUAAUGGCCGUAAGCGACCC